CUGCUGCCUCCCGUAGGAGUCUGGACCGUGUCUCAGUUCCAGUGUGGGGGGCCUUCCUCUCAGAACCCCUACGCAUCGUCGCCACGGUGGGCCGUUACCCCGCCGUCAAGCUAAUGCGCCGCAUGCCCAGCCGCCACCGGAUUCCUCCUUUCGCCCGGACCGGAUGCCCGGUCCGGGCGGCAUGGGGUAUUAGGCCGGGUUUCCCCGGGUUAUCCCCCUGUGGCGGGCAGGUUCCAUACGUGUUACUCACCCGUGCGCCGGUCGCCGGCAGGCGCAGG
rnacentral:rRNA from 1 species